GCCAUGGAUGGGGCCUGUGCCUGGACGACCCUCCUGCCAAGGACAUCAUCGACUUCCCCUUGGUGCUGCCUGGCAUCCCCUAUGCUGUGAGCCACCAGUGCCGCCUCCAGUACGGGGCCUACUCUGCCUUCUGCGAGGACAUGGAUAAUGUCUGCCACACACUCUGGUGCUCUGUGGGGACCACCUGUCACUCCAAGCUGGAUGCAGCCAUGGACGGCACCCGGUUGGGGGUUGGUGUCUCAAUGGGGAGUGCGUACCCGUGGGCUUCCGGCCCGAGGCCGUGGAUGGUGGCUGGUCCAGCUGGAGCGCCUGGUCCAUCUGCUCAUGGAGCUGUGGCAUGGGCGUACAGAGCGCCGAGCGGCAGUGCACGCAGCCUACGCCCAAAUACAAAGGCAGAUACUGUGUGGGUGAGCGGAAGCGCUUCCGCCUCUGCAACCUGCAGGCCUGCUCCGCUGGCCGCCCCUCCUUCCGCCACGUCCAGUGCAGCCACUUUGACGCUAUGCUCUACAAGGGCCAGCUGCACACAUGGGUGCCCGUGGUCAAUGACGGUGAGGCCAGAGAGAGGCCUCCCGACCCCAACUCCCAGCUUUCUCCUCCUGACCCUGGCUGGCCCCCGGGGCUGGGGCCACAGAGGGCUGGCCGCCAGCACCAGGGCCCUCCCCUCCUCGUGUGUUGCAGAACGUGGGCUGUGACUUCGAGAUUGACUCCGGUGCUAUGGAGGACCGCUGUGGUGUGUGCCACGGCAACGGCUCCACCUGCCACACCGUGAGCGGGACCUUCGAGGAGGCCGAGGGCCUGGGGUAUGUGGACGUGGGGCUGAUCCCAGCCGGCGCACGCGAGAUCCGCCUCCAGGAGGUUGCCGAAGCUGCCAACUUCCUGGCACUGCGGAGCGAGGACCCGGAGAAGUACUUCCUCAAUGAUGGCUGGACCAUCCAGUGGAACGGGGGCUACCAGGUGGCAGGGACCACCUUCACAUACGCACGCAGGGGCAACUGGGAGAACCUCACGUCCCCGGGUCCCACCAAGGAGCCUGUCUGGAUCCAGCUGCUGUUCUAGGAAAGCAACCCCGGGGUACACUACGAGCACACCAUCCACAGGGAGGCAGGUGGCCACAGCGAGGUCCCGCUGCCCAAGUUCUCCUGGCACUGUGGGCCCUGGACCAAGUGCACAGUCACCUGCGGCAGAGGUGUGCAGAGGCAGAGUGUGUACUGCUCAGAGCGGCAGGCAGGACCUGUGGACGAGGAGCACUGUCAUCCCCUGGGCCGGCCUGAUGACCGCCAGAGGAAGUGCAGCGAGCAGCCCUGCCCUGCCAGGUGGUGGGCAGGUGAGUGGCAGCCGUGCUCCAGCUCCUGCGGGGCCUGGGGGCCUCUCCUGCCGGGCCAUGCUCUGCAUCCGCAGCAUGGGGCUGGAUGAGCAGAGUGCCUUGGGGCCACCCGCCUGUGAACACUUCCCUGGCCCCCUACUGAAACCCCUUGCAACUGCCAUGUGCCCUGUCUGGCUACCUGGGCUGUGGGGAACUGGUUUCAUGCUCAGUGACAUGUGGGGAGGGCACUCAGCGCCGAAAUGUCCUCUGCACCAAUGACAUCGGUGUCCCCUGUGACGAGGCCCAGCAGCCAGCUAGCAAAGUCACCUGCUCUCUGCCACUCUGUUAAUGGCCCCUGGGCACACUGGGCCCUGAAGGCUCAGGCAGCGGCUCCUCCAGCCACGAGCUCUUCAAUGAGGCUGACUUCAUCCCGCGCCACCUGGCCCCACGCCCUUCACCUGCCUCAUCACCCAAGCCAGGCACCAUGGGCAACGCCAUUGAGGAGGAGGCUCCAGAGCUGGACCUGCCGGGGCCCAUGUUGGUGGACGACUUCUACUAUGACUACAAUUGCAUCAACUUCCACGAGGAUCUGUCCUAUGGGCCCUCUGAGGAACCCGAUCUAGACCUGGUGGGGACAGGGGACCGGACACCCCCACCACACAGCCAUCCUGCACCCUCCACGGGUAGCCCCGUGCCUGCCACAGAGCCUCCUGCAGCCAAGGAGGAGGGGGCACCGGGACCUUGGUCCCUUAGCCCUUGGCCCAGCCAGGCCGGCUGCUUCCCAUCCCCGCCCUCAGAGCAGACCCCUGGGAACCCUUUGAUCAAUUUCCUGCCUGAGGAAGAUGCCCCCAUAGGGGCCCCAGAUCUUGGGCUCUCCAGCCUGCCCUGGCCCAGGGUUUCUACCGAUGGCCUGCAGACACUUGCUGCCCCUGAUAGCCAAAAUGAUUUCCCAGUUAGCAAGGACAGCCAGAGCCAGCUGCCCCCUCCAUGGCGGGGCAGGACCAAUGAGGUUUUCAAGGAUGAUGAACCCGAGGGCCGUGGAGCACCCCACCUGCCCCCGAGACCCAGCCCCACGCUGCCCCCUUUGUCCUGUCGGCAGCACCCACUCCUCUCCUAGUCCCGACGCGGCGGAGCUGUGGACAGGAGGGAUAGUGGCCUGGGAGCCAGCUCUGGAGGGUGGUCUGGGGCCUGUGGACAGUGAACUGUGGCCCACUGUUGGGGUGGCUUCUCUCCUUCCUCCUCCCAUAGCCCCUCUGCCAGAGAUGAAGGUCAGGGACAGUUCCCUGGAGCCGGGGACUCCCUCCUUCCCAACCCCAGGACCAGGCUCAUGGGACCUGCAGACUGUGGCAGUGUGGGGGACCUUCCUCCCCACAACCCUGACUGGCCUCGGGCACAUGCCUGAGCCUGCCCUGAACCCAGGACCCAAGGGUCAGCCUGAGUCCCUCAGCCCUGAGGUGCCCCUGAGCUCUAGGCUGCUGUCCACACCAGCUUGGGACAGCCCCGCCAACAGCCACAGAGCCCCUGAGACCCAGCCACUGCCUCCCAGCCUGGCUGAAGCGGGGCCCCCCGCGGACCCGUUGGUUGUCAGGAACGCCAGCUGGCAAGCGGGAAACUGGAGCGAGGCAAUACCACCUGCGGCCUGGGUGUGGUCUGGAGGCCGGUGCGCUGUAGCUCUGGCCGGGAUGAGGACUGUACCCCCGCUGGCCGGCCCCAGCCUGCCCGCCACUGCCACCUGCAGCCCUGUGCCACCUGGCACUCAGGCAACUGGAGUAAGUGCUCGCGCAGCUGCGGUGGAGGUUCCUCAGUGCAGGACGUGCAGUGUGUGGAUACACGGGACCUCUGGACACUGCAGCCCUUCCAUUGUCAGCCCGGGCCUGCCAAACCGCCUGCACACCGGCCCUGCGGGGCCCAGCCCUGCCUCAGCUGUUACACAUCUUCCUGGAGGGAGUGCUCCGAGGCCUGUGGCGGUGGUGAGCAGCAGCAUCUGGUGACUUGCCCGGAGCCAGGCCUCUGCGAGGAGGCGCUGAGACCCAACACCACCUGGCCCUGCAACACCCACCCCUGCACGCAGUGGGUGGUGGGGCCCUGGGGCCAGUGCUCAGCCCCCUGUGGCAGUGGCGUCCAGCGGCGCCUAGUCAAGUGUGUCAACACCCAGACAGGGCUGCCCGAGGAAGACAGUGACCAGUGUGGCCAUGAGGCCUGGCCUGAGAGCUCCCGGCCGUGUGGCACCGAGGAUUGUGAGCCCAUCGAGUCUCCCCGCUAUAAGCGGGACCACCUGUCCUUCAGGUUCUGCGAGACGCUGCACCUAGUGGGCUGCUGCCAGCUGCCCACUGUCCGCACCCACUGCUGCCGCUCGUGCUCUCCGCCCAGCCACGGCGCCCGCUCCCGAGGCCAUCAGCGGGUUGCCUGCCAC
rnacentral:lncRNA from 1 species